GUGCCAGCCGCCGCGGUAAUACGGAGGAUCCAAGCGUUAUCCGGAAUCAUUGGGUUUAAAGGGUCCGUAGGCGGUCAGAUAAGUCAGUGGUGAAAGCCCAUCGCUCAACGGUGGAACGGCCAUUGAUACUGUCUGACUUGAAUUAUUAGGAAGUAACUAGAAUAUGUAGUGUAGCGGUGAAAUGCUUAGAGAUUACAUGGAAUACCAAUUGCGAAGGCAGGUUACUACUAAUAUAUUGACGCUGAUGGACGAAAGCGUGGGUAGCGAACAGGAUUAGAUACCCUGGUAGUCCACGCCGUAAACGAUGGAUACUAGCUGUUGGGAGCAAUCUCAGUGGCUAAGCGAAAGUGAUAAGUAUCCCACCUGGGGAGUACGAACGCAAGUUUGAAACUCAAAGGAAUUGACGGGGGCCCGCACAAGCGGUGGAGCAUGUGGUUUAAUUCGAUGAUACGCGAGGAACCUUACCAAGGCUUAAAUGUAGUUUGACCGGUUUGGAAACAGAUCUUUCGCAAGACAAAUUACAAGGUGCUGCAUGGUUGUCGUCAGCUCGUGCCGUGAGGUGUCAGGUUAAGUCCUAUAACGAGCGCAACCCCUGUUGUUAGUUGCCAGCGAGUCAUGUCGGGAACUCUAACGAGACUGCCAGUGCAAACUGUGAGGAAGGUGGGGAUGACGUCAAAUCAUCACGGCCCUUACGCCUUGGGCUACACACGUGCUACAAUGGCCGGUACAGAGAGCAGCCACUGGGUGACCAGG
rnacentral:rRNA from 1 species